CGCUGGCGGCGCGCUUAAUACAUGCAAGUCGAACGAGAAGCCAGAGCUUGCUCUGGUGGAAAGUGGCGAACGGGUGAGUAACACGUGAGAAACCUGCCCCAAAGAUUGGGAUAAGCCUUGGAAACGAGGUCUAAUACCAAAUACCUUCCUUUAACACAUGUUAAAAAGAAGAAAUGCUCCGGCGCUUUGGGAUGGUCUCGCGAUCUAUCAGCUUGUUGGUGAGGUAACGGCUCACCAAGGCAUCGACGGAUAGCUGGUCUGAGAGGAUGUCCAGCCACAUUGGAACUGAGACACGGUCCAAACUCCUACGGGAGGCAGCAGUAGGGAAUCUUGCACAAUGGGGAAACCUUGAUGCAGCGACGCCGCGUGCGGGACGAAGGCCCUAGGGUUGUAAACCGCUUUCAGUAGGGACGAAAGUGACGGUACCUACAGAGGAAGCCCCGGCCAACUAUGUG
rnacentral:rRNA from 1 species